UCUGCCAUCUCACCCUUACUUACCCCAUAUUUACAAUCAAAUUUUUCCGCAGCGCCUCACCAACCCACCACUCUCCCUACUUUUCUGAUUCAAAUCAAAUCCCCGAAGUCUCUGUGAAUCCAAGCUGCACAAGCUUUGAUCAGUUUCAAAGUCUUUGAAGAGAGAAACAGACCAUCCUCUAACAAUGGCCGGAGGCAGCAAGGUCUACACUUUAGCUGAGGUCUCUGCUCACAGUGACCGCAAAGACUGCUGGCUCCUCAUUGAUGGCAAGGUAUAUGAUGUAACGAAGUUCUUGGAGGACCAUCCUGGCGGUGAUGAGGUCUUAUUGGCAGCCACAGGAAAGGAUGCAAGUAAUGAUUUUGAGGAUGUUGGCCACAGCUCCACUGCUAGAGCAAUGAUGGAUGAAUUUUAUGUCGGAGACAUUGAUUCAUCAUCCAUCCCCACAAAGAGGGCGUACACUCCUCCCAAGCAGCCUUACUACAACCAGGACAAGACAACCGAUUUCAUCAUCAAAAUCCUCCAGUUCCUCGUUCCCCUGCUAAUUUUGGGUUUGGCUUUUGGUGUCCGCUUCUAUACCAAAACUUCAACAGCGUAAAGUUGAAGCGGAAAGAGAAGUGAGAAAUCUUCCCAAUAAAUUUAUGUUAGCGUUGAAAUUGGAAGACCCUUUGUUAGCAUCCGUAUACUUUGGUGAUUUCACAAACUUGGACUUCAUGAGCUGAUUUGCCCUUACAUUGUAUGGUCCCUUGGCUUAGGGUUCAGCUUGUAAGAUCACCACUCUUUUUCACCAUUUUUAUGUUCAUUUGUCACUGAGAAGCUUGCGUCGGGUUCCAUACCUUGGAGCAGUUGCAGUAUGCCUAUUUUGUUGGUGGUAUAAAUACAACAACAAUAAUGUGGCCUUGGGUCCAAACUCAUUUAUACGA